AGAGUUUGAUCAUGGCUCAGAUUGAACGCUGGCGGCAGGCCUAACACAUGCAAGUCGAGCGGUAGCACAGAGAGCUUGCUCUCGGGUGACGAGCGGCGGACGGGUGAGUAAUGUCUGGGAAACUGCCUGAUGGAGGGGGAUAACUACUGGAAACGGUAGCUAAUACCGCAUAACGUCGCAAGACCAAAGUGGGGGACCUUCGGGCCUCAUGCCAUCAGAUGUGCCCAGAUGGGAUUAGCUGGUAGGUGGGGUAACGGCUCACCUAGGCGACGAUCCCUAGCUGGUCUGAGAGGAUGACCAGCCACACUGGAACUGAGACAUGGUCCAGACUCCUACGGGAGGCAGCAGUGGGGAAUAUUGCACAAUGGGCGCAAGCCUGAUGCAGCCAUGCCGCGUGUGUGAAGAAGGCCUUCGGGUUGUAAAGACUUUCAGCGGGGAGGAAGGCGAUAAGGUUAAUAACCUUGUCGAUUGACGUUACCCGCAGAAGAAGCACCGGCUAACUCCGUGCCAGCAGCCGCGGUAAUACGGAGGGUGCAAGCGUUAAUCGGAAUUACUGGGCGUAAAGCGCACGCAGGCGGUCUGUCAAGUCGGAUGUGAAAUCCCCGGGCUCAACCUGGGAACUGCAUUCGAAACUGGCAGGCUAGAGUCUUGUAGAAGGGGGUAGAAUUCCAGGUGUAGCGGUGAAAUGCGUAGAGAUCUGGAGGAAUACCGGUGGCGAAGGCGGCCCCCUGGACAAAGACUGACGCUCAGGUGCGAAAGC
rnacentral:rRNA from 1 species